rnacentral:piRNA from 1 species
UUCUACUGGUUCAUGGUUCAUAGUUGAGGG